AGUGAACGCUGGCGGUAGGCCUAACACAUGCAAGUCGAACGGCAGCACAGUAAGAGCUUGCUCUUACGGGUGGCGAGUGGCGGACGGGUGAGGAAUACAUCGGAAUCUACUUUUUCGUGGGGGAUAACGUAGGGAAACUUACGCUAAUACCGCAUACGACCUACGGGUGAAAGCAGGGGAGCUUCGGACCUUGCGCGAUUGAAUGAGCCGAUGUCGGAUUAGCUAGUUGGCGGGGUAAAGGCCCACCAAGGCGACGAUCCGUAGCUGGUCUGAGAGGAUGAUCAGCCACACUGGAACGGAGACACGGUCCAGACUCCUACGGGAGGCAGCAGUGGGGAAUAUUGGACAAUGGGGGCAAGCCUGAUCCAGCCAUACCGAGUGGGUGAAGAAGGCCUUCGGGUUGUAAAGCCCUUUUGUUGGGAAAGAAAAGCAGCCGGUUAAUACCCAGCUGUUCCGACGGUACCUAAAGAAUAAGCACCGGCUAACUUCGUG
rnacentral:rRNA from 1 species